UCCCAGACUCCUACGGGAGGCAGCAGUGGGGAAUCUUCCGCAAUGGGCGCAAGCCUGACGGAGCAAUGCCGCGUGAACGAAGAAGGUCUUCGGAUUGUAAAGUUCUGUCCUCAUCGAAGAGAGGGUAUAGAGUGAAAAAUGGUAUACUAGGACGGUAGAUGAGGAGGAAGCCACGGCUAACUACGUGCCAGCAGCCGCGGUAAUACGUAGGUGGCAAGCGUUGUCCGGAUUUACUGGGUGUAAAGGGCGUGUAGCCGGGCUGACAAGUCAGAUGUGAAAUCCGGGGGCUCAACCCCCGAACUGCAUUUGAAACUGUUGGUCUUGAGUAUCGGAGAGGCAGGCGGAAUUCCUAGUGUAGCGGUGAAAUGCGUAGAUAUUAGGAGGAACACCAGUGGCGGAGGCGGCCUGCUGGACGACAACUGACGGUGAGGCGCGAAAGCGUGGGGAGCAAACAGGAUUAGAUACCCGAGUAAUA
rnacentral:rRNA from 1 species